rnacentral:rRNA from 1 species
GGGUAGCAAUACCUGGCGGCGACCGGCAAACGGGGCGGAACACGUACGCAACCUUCCUUUAAGUGAGGAAUAGCCCAGGGAAACUUGGAUUAAUACCUCGUAACACUAUGAGAUGGCAUCAUCUUAUAAUUAUAGCUACGGCGCUUAAAGAUGGGCGUGCGGCUGAUUAGGUAGUUGGCGGGGUAACGGCCCACCAAGCCUACGAUCAGUAACUGGUGUGAGAGCACGACCAGUCACACGGGCACUGAGACACGGGCCCGACUCCUACGGGAGGCAGCAGUAAGGAAUAUUGGUCAAUGGACGCAAGUCUGAACCAGCCAUGCCGCGUGGAGGAUGAAGGUCCUCUGGAUUGUAAACUUCUUUUAUUUGGGAAGAAACCCAUGUUUUCUAACGUGGUUGACGGUACCAGAUGAAUAAGCACCGGCUAACUCCGUGCCAGCAGCCGCGGUAAUACGGAGGGUGCAAGCGUUAUCCGGAUUCACUGGGUUUAAAGGGUGCGUAGGUGGGCAGGUAAGUCAGUGGUGAAAUCUCUGGGCUUAACCCAGAAACUGCCGUUGAUACUAUCUGUCUUGAAUGUAGUGGAGGUGAGCGGAAUAUGUCAUGUGGCGGUGAAAUGCUUAGAUAUGACAUAGAACACCAAUUGCGAAGGCAGCUCGCUACACUACUAUUGACACUGAGGCACGAAAGCGUGGGGAUCAAACAGGAUUAGAUACCCUGGUAGUCCACGCCCUAAACGAUGGAUACUCGACAUCAGCGAUACACUGUUGGUGUCUGAGCGAAAGCAUUAAGUAUCCCACCUGGGAAGUACG